AGCAGCCGCGGUAAUUCCAGCUCCAAUAGCGUAUAUUAAAGUUGUUGCAGUUAAAAAGCUCGUAGUUGAAUUUCGGGAUCAGUACGCCGGUCGUGCCUUCGGUAUGCACUGGUGUCACUGGUUUCUCCCUUCUGAAGAACCAUCAUGCCAUUAAGUUGGUGUGGCGGGAAAUCAGGACUGUUACUUUGAAAAAAUUAGAGUGUUUAAAGCAGGCUCGCGCUUGAAUACAUUAGCAUGGAAUAAUGAAAUAGGACGUUUGACCCUAUUUUGUUGGUUUCUAGGAUCGACGUAAUGAUUAAUAGAGAUAGUUGGGGGCAUUAGUAUUCAAUUGUCAGAGGUGAAAUUCUUGGAUUUAUUGAAGACUAACUACUGCGAAAGCAUUUGCCAAGGAUGUUUUCAUUAAUCAAGAACGAAAGUUAGGGGAUCGAAGACGAUCAGAUACCGUCGUAGUCUUAACCAUAAACUAUGCCGACUAGGGAUCGGAUGAUGUUAAUUUUUUAAUGACUCAUUCGGCGCCUUA
rnacentral:misc_RNA from 2 species